rnacentral:lncRNA from 1 species
CGCUCAGGCCCUUGUUGCCGAACGCCGUGAUGAGGGUGGCGAGGUCGGAGGCCGGCGACGGGAGGUCGCUGUUCGCCAGGCUCUGGCUCGCCGUCGUCGAGUCGCGCCGGCCGAGCGGCACCGCCCAGGUUGGCCCUCCGAGCUGUGCAGUAUUGAUCGUGUUAGAUUUCGCUCAGCGUGAGUGCAUUGUGUACUUUGAUAGUACACGUUGGCCUGUGUCUAUAUAUGCACGUGUGUUUGUGCAGUGUACCAGGAAGGUGCUGUCUCGGGCGGCGAGGGCGACGAUGUCGGCGCAGGAGACGACGCCGGGGCAGAGGAGCUCGACGUUGGCCUUGAUCUGGUCGAUGACCUCGUAGCCGCGGACGGAGUUGACGUUGG